rnacentral:rRNA from 1 species
UACGUAGGGGGCUAGCGUUGUCCGGAAUCAUUGGGCGUAAAGAGCGCGUAGGCGGCCAGAUAAGUCCGGUGUAAAAGUCACAGGCUCAACCUGUGAAUGCCGCUGGAAACUGUGUGGCUAGAGUCCGGAAGAGGAGAGUGGAAUUCCCGGUGUAGCGGUGAAAUGCGCAGAUAUCGGGAAGAACACCCGUGGCGAAGGCGGCUCUCUGGGACGGUACUGACGCUGAGACGCGAAAGCGUGGGGAGCAAACAGG